AACGAACGCUGGCGGCAUGCCUAACACAUGCAAGUCGAACGAGAUCUUCGGGUCUAGUGGCGCACGGGUGCGUAACGCGUGGGAAUCUGCCCUUUGGUUCGGAAUAACAGUUGGAAACGACUGCUAAUACCGGAUGAUGACGAAAGUCCAAAGAUUUAUCGCCAGAGGAUGAGCCCGCGUAGGAUUAGCUAGUUGGUGUGUUAAAGGGGAACCAAGGCGACGAUCCUUAGCUGGUCUGAGAGGAUGAUCAGCCACACUGGGACUGAGACACGGCCCAGACUCCUACGGGAGGCAGUAGUGGGGAAUAUUGGACAAUGGGCGCAAGCCUGAUCCAGCAAUGCCUCGUGAGUGAAGAAGGCCUUAGGGUUGUAAAGCUCUUUUAGUAGGGAAGAUAAUGACUGUACCUACAGAAAAAGCUCCGGCUAACUUCGUGCCAGCCGCCGCAGUAA
rnacentral:rRNA from 1 species